CACGUAGGAGGCAAACGUUGUCCGGAUUUACUGGGCGUAAAGCGCAUGUAGGUGGUUCUGUAAGUAGGGCGUGAAAGCUCCCGGCUCAACUGGGAGAGGCCGUUCUAAACUACAGAGCUAGAGGAUGGUAGAGGGAGGUGGAAUUCCGGGUGUAGCGGUGGAAUGCGCAGAUAUCCGGAGGAACACCAGUGGCGAAAGCGGCCUCCUGGUCCAUUCCUGACACCCAGAUGCGAAAGCUAGGGUAGCAAACGGGAUUAGAUACCCGCGUAGUCCCUGA
rnacentral:rRNA from 1 species